UUCAAAAUGUCAUAAAGAGAAAAAGAAAAUCACUAAUGACAUGAAGCAAAAUGAACCUUGUACAAACCUUAUAUAAAACAAGCUUAAAGCCAUUACUUUACACAUUUCUACAAUGAAAUAAUAAUUUUUUAAAUUUUUUUGUAGAGAUGGGAGUCUCACGAUGUUGCCCAGGCUGCUCUGGAACUUCUGGCCUUAAGCAAUCCACCUCCCUCGGCCUCCCAAACUGCUGGGAUUACAGGUGUGAGCCACCACGCCUGGCCCAACACCAUCUUAUUGGAUCAUCUGAUUUGGAAAAAGAAAAAGAAAAUCUAAAGAAUGAAUAAGACUACAGAAAAAAUAUAAACGGUUCUAUUGGAUUUUUUCUAAUAUGAACUCUGCAUUGGCCAAAGAAGGUAAAAUAAUAAACCCGUCUGUUUUGGGGUACAGUUUUUAUCAAACUUUGGUGAAAAUGGAAAGAUGUAUGUUGCAUGCCCUUAUUUGUAUACAGAAUGGGGAUAUAUAUGCAUAGAAAAUACCUGCGAUGAUGUCUAAGACACAAUUAUUAACAGAAAUUGCUUCCUGGUGGAGGGGACUAGGGAUCCAGAGUGGGGAAGAAAUCAUUUUCUACUUAUGCAUGUAUUACUUUAAUUUUAAAAGCAACAUCAGCAAUUAGCCAAAGAAAAAGCCAAGGUCAUCUGUAGGUCAAAACUAUCAGGAAAGUAGGCUGAGGAAGCAAAUGAGCAAAGAGUAGGAUAAAGGAGGAUGCCAGAACUGCGGGCACGCAGCUCCUACAGUUUUGGUUCCAGAUUCCUGGUGAUGUGUCUUAGUCCAUUUUGGCUGCUACAACAAAAUACCAUCAACUGAUGUCUUCUAAAUGACAGAAAUGUAUUGUUCAUAUUUCUGGAGGCUGGGAAGUCCAAGAUAAGGCAUGAGCAGAUCUGGUGUUUGGCAAGGGCCUGUUUCUGAUUCAUUGAUGAUGACUUUUUGCUGUGUUUGAAUGAGCUCCCUCAGGCCAAUUGUAUGAGAGUACUGAUCACCUCUCAAGAGGGCCCAUCUCCCAACAUCAUCUUGGGGGUUAGAGAUUCAACCUGUGAAUUUGGGGAGGACACAAAGUUUCCAACCAUAGUAUGGUGUUUUCUAGUCUUGGAUCCCAGAGUUCAAACCUUGUAAAUCCUAUCCCAUUUUUAUCAAAAAUAGAGAUUUAUUAUGUCAAUGUGACAUAAUGGCAUAAAGCACUAAACCAUUUGACAGGGCAUCCUUUCAAAAGUGAAAAGCAGUGUUUGAUUAUAUAGCUUCCCCACUAAUCCUUGUUACCAACAGCUACUUAAUCUAAUCCUGAAGAUGGAGUACAAUAUUCUUUCUGCAACACACUGAAUACUCACUUCAAUUUAUUGUAUUUUUUCUAAAUAUACCUCUCUUCCUUCUGGCAGCAGGGACAUUUCAUUAGCAAAUAAAUGGAGUCUUGUGCCCUUCUGACAGUCUCACACCUGCCCAACAAUCCCAGACCCUGGGUCUGGCCAGGGACAGGCCAACUCCAGGGUUCUCUGCCAAGGGAAGUCCUGGAAAGGCUCUGUGCUCAAGACAAGCCCCUAGGCCACCCCGAGGGAGGGGGAUCGUUCCAGGAUAAGGGAAAAACAAAAAGAAAUUGAACAUGGCUGGGGUCGGUGGUUCACACCUGUAAGCCCAGCACUCUAGGAGGCCAAGGUGGGCAGAUCACUUGAGCCCUGGAGUUCAAGACCAGCUUGGGUUUCACAUGGUGAAACCCCAUCUCUAUUAAAAAUACAAAAAUUAGCCCGGCGUGGUGGCAGACCCCCGUAAUCCCAGCUACUCAGGGGGCUAGGUGGGGGAAUCGCUUGAACCCGG
rnacentral:lncRNA from 1 species